rnacentral:misc_RNA from 1 species
AAAUGCGAUAAGUAGUGUGAAUUGCAGAAUUCAGUGAAUCAUCGAAUCUUUGAACGCACAUUGCGCCCCUUGGUAUUCCAUGGGGCAUGCCUGUUCGAGCAUCAUUUGUACCCUCAAGCUCUGCUUGGUGUUGGGUGUUUGUCCCCGUCUCCGCGCGUGGACUCGCCCCAAAGUGAUUGGCAGCCGGCGUACUGGUCCCGGAGCGCAGCACAUGUCGCGCAAACGAGUGCCUUGGUACGGCGGCGUCCAUAAGCCCCUCUCUCACGCUCUUGACCUCGGAUCAGGUAGGGAUACCCGCUGAACUUAAGC